CAAGGUUUCCGUAGGUGAACCUGCGGAAGGAUCAUUACAGUUAAACAUAUACACACGCUUUUUUUUUAGCACACACACAACAACUUACAUCAGUCAACAAAACAAAAUAAUCAAAACUUUCAACAACGGAUCUCUUGGUUCUCGCAUCGAUGAAGAACGCAGCGAAAUGCGAUAAGUAAUAUGACUUGCAGUUUUCGUGAAUCAUCGAAUCUUUGAACGCACAUUGCACCUAGGGGCAUUCUCCUAGGUAUGCCUGUUUGAGCGUCGUUUCACCCUCAAGCCCGCGGGCUUGGUGUUGAGUGACACGCGCGUGCACUUCAAAAGCAUGGCGACCAAUGUUCUAAACUUCAUUGGCCUCUAACCCUUUUGACCUCAAAUCAGGUAGGACUACCCGCUGAACUUAAGCAUAUCAA
rnacentral:rRNA from 1 species